UGGGGAAUCUUCCGCAAUGGACGAAAGUCUGACGGAGCAACGCCGCGUGAGUGAAGAAGGUUUUCGGAUCGUAAAACUCUGUCUUUUGGGGCGAACGUGAGUAUGGUGAACAAUCAUAGUCAGUGACGGUACCAAAGGAGGAAGCCACGGCUAACUACGUGCCAGCAGCCGCGGUAAUACGUAGGUGGCAAGCGUUGUCCGGAAUUAUUGGGCGUAAAGAGCGCGUAGGCGGGAUAGUCAGUCUGUUGUAAAAGUGCGGGGCUCAACCCCGUGAUCGCAAUGGAAACAGCUAUUCUUGAGUGCAGGAGAGGAAAGUGGAAUUCCCAGUGUAGCGGUGAAAUGCGUAGAUAUUGGGAGGAACACCAGUGGCGAAGGCGACUUUCUGGACUGUGUCUGACGCUGAGGCGCGAAAGCCAGGGGAGCGAACGGGAUUAGAUACCCCGGUAGUCCUGGCCGUAAACGAUGGGUACUAGGUGUGGGAGGUAUCGACCCCUUCCGUGCCGGAGUUAACGCAAUAAGUACCCCGCCUGGGGAGUACGGUCGCAAGACUGAAACUCAAAUGAAUUGACGGGGGUCAUAGCUGUUUCCUG
rnacentral:rRNA from 1 species